GACGAACGCUGGCGGCGUGCUUAACACAUGCAAGUCGAACGGAAAGGCCCUGCUUUUGUGGGGUGCUCGAGUGGCGAACGGGUGAGUAACACGUGAGUAACCUGCCCUUGACUUUGGGAUAACUUCAGGAAACUGGGGCUAAUACCGGAUAGGAGCUCCUGCUGCAUGGUGGGGGUUGGAAAGUUUCGGCGGUUGGGGAUGGACUCGCGGCUUAUCAGCUUGUUGGUGGGGUAGUGGCUUACCAAGGCUUUGACGGGUAGCCGGCCUGAGAGGGUGACCGGCCACAUGGGGCCUGAGAUACGGCCCAGACGCCUACGGGAGGCAGAAGUGGGGAAUAUUGCACAAUGGGCGGAAGCCUGAUGCAGCAACGCCGCGUGCGGGAUGACGGCCUUCGGGUUGUAAACCGCUUUCGCCUGUGACGAAGCGUGAGUGACGGUAAUGGGUAAAGAAGCACCGGCUAACUACGUG
rnacentral:rRNA from 1 species